UUUAAUAUGGCAGAAUAGUGCAAAGGCCUUAAAAUCCUUAUAUAAAGAUACUAAAUCUUUUAUUAAAA
rnacentral:tRNA from 1 species